rnacentral:ribozyme from 1 species
GGAAUAAAGUAAGACACCUCCACGUGGUUUAUUCCGGGCAACAAAGAUAAUACUUUGGCUAAGUCUUAC